rnacentral:rRNA from 1 species
GUAGUCUGCAACCCGACCUACAUGAAGCUGGAAUCGCUAGUAAUCGCGGAUCAGAAUGCCGCGGUGAAUACGUUCCCGGGUCUUGUACACACCGCCCGUCACACCAUGGGAGGUCGGAAAUGCCCGAAGUCUGUGACCCAACCUUAGGGAGGGGAGCAGCCGAAGGCAGGUCGGAUGACUGGGGUGAAGUCGUAACAAGGUAGC